AUGCAAGUUGAACGGAAUAUGUUGGAAGGGCAACCGGAAGGCAUAUUUAGUGGCGAACGGGUGAGUAAUGCAUGAGAACGUAUCCUCAAGAGGGGGACAACAUUGGGAAACCGAUGCUAAUACCCCAUAAGCCGGGAGGUAAAAGGAGCAAUCCGCUUGAGGAGCGGUUCAUGUCCUAUCAGCUGGUUGGUGAGGUAACGGCUCACCAAGGCGAAGACGGGUAGCCGGCCUGAGAGGGUGAACGGCCACACUGGAACUGAGAGACGGUCCAGACUCCUACGGGAGGCAGCAAUGGGGAAUAUUGGGCAAUGGGGGAAACCCUGACCCAGCGACGCCGCGUGAGGGAAGAAGGCCUUAGGGUCGUAAACCUCUGUUGUGUGGGAAGAAGAGCGUGACGGUACCACACGAGGAAGUCCCGGCUAACUACGUGCCAGCAGCCGCGGUAAUACGUAGGGGACGAGCGUUGUCCGGAUUUACUGGGCGUAAAGGGCGC
rnacentral:rRNA from 1 species